rnacentral:lncRNA from 1 species
AUAAGGAUUUUUAAAGAUUGAGAUCUUAGAAAUUGGAGUUUGAGGAUCAGUGAGUAUUUCUAAGAUCUUUUGCAAUUUUUCAAUUAGAUUGAAGUGAAUUUUUUUUAUAUGAAUACAAGACUUGAUUUUCAAGAUUUGGAUGAAAUUUGAGAGCACUUUAAUAAUUUAAGAAAGAAAUACUAUUAUUGAAAGUUUAGUAUAUAAGUUGGAAUAGGAGGCCAUUCAAUACCUAAUUGGAUUAUCUUGUAUUUCUCUCAAUUAGUAUAUUGAAUUGAUUUCAUCUUCUUUGUGCUUAUUUCUUACUAAGAUAUUAAAAAGUAUAAUUUUUUUGAAUUAAUAUCAAAAAUUUGAUCAUUAUUUGUUGAAGUUUUAAUAUACUAUAGAGUUGUUAAGUGUUUCUUUCAGAUUUAGAGUUUGAUUAGGAUUUGCUUAGGAUUUGGUUUAGAAUUUGUCUAUGAUUUAAGAUUCAAUUAGGAUUUCAAUUAGGAUUUGA